rnacentral:rRNA from 1 species
UACGUAGGGGGCUAGCGUUGUCCGGAAUCAUUGGGCGUAAAGCGCGUGUAGGCGGUCCGGUAAGUCCGCUGUGAAAGCCAGGGGCUCAACCCUUGGAAUGCCGGUGGAUACUGUCGGGCUUGAGUACGGAAGAGGCGAGUGGAAUUCCUGGUGGUAGCGGUGAAAUGCGCAGAUAUCAAGGAGGAACACCGGUGGCGAAGGCGGUCUCUGGGAAUGUCCUGACGCUGAGGAGCGAAAGUGUGGGAGCGAACAGG